rnacentral:lncRNA from 1 species
UUAAUGAACUGUUACCAUGUGUUCCACAAAGAAUGCAUAGAUACAUGGUUGGAACAUGACCAUGAUAAUCAUAACCCUACUUGUCCACUAUGUAGAGCACCUUUGUUAACUCCUUGUUGUUUCUCAUCAUCAUCAUCAUCUGAGUCCUCUACUUGUGUUCCUCCUACUCAACCUAGUUGGGCUGUGGAAAGACUUCUAUAUCUCUUUGGGGAUGAUCUUAUGCCUUGUUAAUUAGCUAUUUAACAACAUGUAUUAAUUUGUACACAGCUAGAUAUAAUAGCUUAGGUCAUUCAUUAUUUCUUCAGUCUUGUUGGGUGUGUAAAUAGAUGUAUUUUUCUUCACUUUUUAACAUAUAUUUCGGUCAAAUCUGUUCCAUUCUUAAAUUAAUGGAUAUCUCUAUUUAUAUCAGAAUUUUCUAAUAACUCUUGUGAGAAGUAAUCAAUUAUAUUGUUGGUUUGUGAAAAAAAAAAGGUUAUAACUAAUAUCAUGAAAAUAUAGAAUGUAGAAGAAUGAGUCUAUUUAAGUUUUGCUUGGUUUGGAACAAAACAAAUUAUUCAUUUGUUAAAGUAUUGAGCAAGAGUAAAGUAUAAUGGCAUAAAACAAAAGUAUAAAUUUCAGACGGUCACGCCACCAGGUCAGAGAACCACUGUUAGUUUUGAUAUUUGGAAAAAAGCCAAAUGUGGCGUCAUACUUUAAUUAGUGGAUCAUACAAAAAUAUCAAGUUGCUAUUUUGUUAUUGGCAUAGUGUCCAAUUCAAUAUCUAAUUCAUAACAAAAUAUGCUUACUGACUUGCCACUCUUUACAUGAAUGAAUUCACAAAAUAUCAACUCAAUCAAUGGUUAAGUUAAAAACACACUCGUAACGUUUUCCUUUGUGUAUGGGGCUACUCUAACCAAAUUUAUUAAACAAAGUUUCGGAUUCGAAUCUCAUGUAUGAAAAAAAUGUCCAUCAAAAGAAUUAGUCUCAUAUAUGUGUGGAUGUUUCUGAUUCGGACAUCAUUGUCUCAAGUGCGAGAUACUCAUAGAAAAAAAAGUUGUUUAACAUAUGGUACAACUAAGUCACUAAUUGAAUCAUAAUUAACCACAUUCCUUGCACCCUUCAACUUGUCUCAACUUCAAAUACCUAAGUAUUUGUAUGUCUUCUUCAACUUCUCAUUCUAAAUAAUUAAUCAACUUACACUCUUCAAUCUCUUCACCUUAUGUAAGCCAUAAGAAAGAAAUAUUUGUAUAUCAUUAAUUUAAAGUAGUUAAUGUUUUUAUUUUAUUUUUUCAUGAGAUUAUCACCACCAAGUAUGGAUGUGAUUAUAAGUGUCUCAUAACAAUUUUUCUCUACAAAAUUUGGAAUUACGGUCAUCUUUUUAAUAUUGUGAUUUGCUUAAAAUUUGCACUAACCAUUAAACAAGGGAGAAUAAAGUAUAUUCUGGAAUAAAUUUCUUCUCAUACCAAUGAAAUCAUGGCAUAUGUCAUGUUUCAUCAUUUUCUAUACAAAUAUUUUUAAAAUUAUCUUCUCAUACCAAUGGGUACUAAAUUUAAAUCAUUUUCAAGCCAUACGUAGAAUAUGGUUUUGUAGAAUUGAGUUAUAAAUAAUAAGAUUAUCAUAGAUGUACAAGAAUGAUAUGACCAGUACAAAAUUUAUUUUAUAUUUGACAUCAUAAUACUAACAAAUGGUUGAUAGUGCAAUUUUCUAUACGUAUGAAAAUCUCAUUCUUUACAAUUCAAUUCUAGAUAAUGGGUACUAGAUUUAAAUCAUUUUCAAGCCAUACGUAGAUUCAGUCUAUUUUCCUAAACUCUAGAUUACACUUUUUUGUAGUCUUAUAAUGUUAAAUAUAAAGGUUUACAAUAACCAUAUCAUUCUUUUACACGUAUAAAAAUCAUAUUAAUUAUAAUUCAAUUAAACAAUAAUAUGUUGAUACAAACCCUAAUAUAUCAAUAAUAAAUAAUUUGUUAAAAGUGUAAAAACGUUUUCACCAUGGAUAUACUACCCAUUUUCUCUUGUGAGCUAAAUGCAAUGUUUAACAAGUGUGAAUUCCAAAGUAUGCUUAUGAAACUAUUUUAUGCAAUUUUUGGGAAGUAUUUAUUCCAUAUUUUGUUUGAUUUCCACAAUAACUAGGAGUAUUUCACAAACACAUAUGAUUGUAAAUAAGUCUUUACCAAAAUAAAAACGCGUGAAUAUAUUAUAACUUAAUUGCAACAUUUCUUACCAAAAUAGUUUUUGAAAAUAUAUUUCCCAAAUCAUUUUAAAAUAACUGUUCAAAUAUAAAUAUUCUUUUUUAUUCUAAAAAAACAAAUCAAUUGAUGAGAUAUGGUAAGCUAGUUAUUUCAUUAUUCAGAUUCAAAAAGUAGAUUUAGAAAUUCAUUUAAAAAUACCUUAUACAAAACUACACUUUCACAAUUUUUUUAAAGUGCAAUAUAUAUACCAUCACUUAAAUUUUUAUACAUAAUCACUAUAUCAUUCAUGAUUUAUUUAUAAGAGUCAAAUAUAAUUGAAAAUAAAUGAUCAAUAAUACAUUAAUAGUACAAAAAAACUCUUACAAUGUUAAUAUGCACAUUUUCCUUUCAUUUAUUAAAAUGAGUUUAGAUUUGAACUUCAAAAUAAUAGCUUUAAACCCAUGUUUAUAUAUGUGCAAAAACAUAUUUGUAGGCAAGGUUACAUGUCUCUUUUAACACAUUUAUAAUUUUGCUUAUGUACAGGUAAGUGUUAUUUUAAAAAUGAUUGAAUAUAUAUACAAUGAUAGUGUAAGUGUUUUUUACACCGUCAGCAAAUUCUCACCAUUCAUAUGUUAGUUAUCAUUGACUUUCAAACAAAAAUAUUACUAAUUAAUAAUUGAUAAUAUGCUGACAGUGUAAAAAAAUUUAUACUACCGGUGCAUAGAUUUUAAACUCUUUUAAAAAAGAAGAAGAAUAACAUUGAUGAUUUAAAACAUAUUAUGAGGUAUAAACAAAAACUCUUAUAGCUAGUAUAUUGAUUAAGCCCAAAAUGGAUGAGUCAGCAGGCCCAAGUAAAUAAAAUAAUAGUUUUAACAUUUAUGGGAGAGGAAAAAACAAAAAUGUACUGCAGUGUUGAAAAGUUGAAGUGUUGAACAGUGUUCUAAAAUCUCAAGUUACUGGGGGAAAGAAUUAGCUUGGAAAUUUGGAAUGAUUUGAGCAUUGGAUAUCAAAUUAUAGAUUGAGAUCUGCAUUCUUGUUUCUUUCCUUUUAUAUUAUUCCAUUUCUCAGAUCUCUCUCUCUCUCUCUCUUACCGUUUCCUCAUUCAAUUCUCUCUUCCCCAAUCCAAUUCAGUUACAUGCAUUUCUUAAGAUACAAGAAUCUAUACUGUUUCCAUUUUGCAUGAUCUAGAUUCUUCUGCGUUUUCAUCGAAAUCCGAUUCUGAAUUUAACACUGUUCGUCAUCUGCGGCGGUUUCAAAUUUCGCUGAACGAGUAAUUGACUGCGAGAGGGAGAGAAGAAAUGGCUGGAGGUGCUGCCGGUGGUUUUCUGACUCGAGCAUUCGAUUCUAUGCUGAAGGAAUGUUCUGUAAAGAAGUAUCCUGAGCUUCAGAAAGCUAUUCAGAAUUAUACUGGUUCGUCUCAAUUUCACAGUCCUAGAUCCCUAUUGCUUUUGUUCUCUCUCUUGUUGUUUCAAUCCAUAUUUGAUUUAAUAAUUUUGAUUUAGAGAAGGUGAGUUUGUCACAGUAAGUUUCUUGCUUAGUGACCAUAAGGUCACACGUUGAAAUCCUGUAAAUAGGCUCCCGACUUGCAGGUUAAGACUGACGAUUUAGCAGAGCCUUACACUACUAGACCAAUGUCUGUUAUAAUUCCUCAUUUGUUUAAGUAUGAGAUAAGAUAAUUAAUAGUUCCAGUGUCCAAUUGUCGUAAAUUCAUCCUCCUCAUACCCCACUAAGUGAGAGCAUCAUCCAAUGUGCUGCCUUUUAUAUUUUUUCCCUUUUAUUUUAGUCUGAGAUAAGAUAAUUAAUAGCUUCAGUGUUCAAUUGGUGGCAUUGAUCCCUUAAUUCAUGUAACUACGUAAUUAUAAUGCUACUGAUAAUCUCAUUUGGAUAUUUAGUUAUCUAUUGUGUUCUGUUAUUGUUCCAGAGAUUACUAAAGAAGCUGGUCAGAGAAAGCAAGCCGUUUCUAGUGAGGAAAAUCAAGCAGCACCCUCAGCUGAAUCUGCGAGGUAAAAACAUUUUAGAUAUGAUAUUAAACAUUGAUGUAACAUUUUGAAUAUUUGUACCUGAAUGGUACUAAAUUAGGUUAGGGCAAAUGAAUAGUGAAUGAUCUUUAUUUGAUGAAAGUAAGGUCAAACUUUCUGUUAAUAGGUCUGAAUCCUUUUAAUUUUAUCAUUCAAAUUAGUUUGGUUUGUUUUGUGCUAGCACGAACGAAACUCAAGAUGGAGCGGCUACUACAACAGAUGUAGAGCACCUUUGUUAACUCCUUGUUGUUUCUCAUCAUCAUCAUCAUCUGAGUCCUCUACUUGUGUUCCUCCUACUCAACCUAGUUGGGCUGUGGAAAGACUUCUAUAUCUCUUUGGGGAUGAUCUUAUGCCUUGUUAAUUAGCUAUUUAACAACAUGUAUUAAUUUGUACACAGCUAGAUAUAAUAGCUUAGGUCAUUCAUUAUUUCUUCAGUCUUGUUGGGUGUGUAAAUAGAUGUAUUUUUCUUCACUUUUUAACAUAUAUUUCGGUCAAAUCUGUUCCAUUCUUAAAUUAAUGGAUAUCUCUAUUUAUAUCAGAAUUUUCU